CAAGGCUACGAUCCGUAACUGGUCUGAGAGGAUGAUCAGUCACACUGGAACUGAGACACGGUCCAGACUCCUACGGGAGGCAGCAGUGGGGAAUAUUGGACAAUGGGCGAAAGCCUGAUCCAGCCAUGCCGCGUGUGUGAAGAAGGUCUUCGGAUUGUAAAGCACUUUAAGUUGGGAGGAAGGGCAGUAAGCGAAUACCUUGCUGUUUUGACGUUACCGACAGAAUAAGCACCGGCUAACUCUGUGCCAGCAGCCGCGGUAAUACAGAGGGUGCAAGCGUUAAUCGGAAUUACUGGGCGUAAAGCGCGCGUAGGUGGUUCGUUAAGUUGGAUGUGAAAUCCCCGGGCUCAACCUGGGAACUGCAUCCAAAACUGGCGAGCUAGAGUAGGGCAGAGGGUGGUGGAAUUUCCUGUGUAGCGGUGAAAUGCGUAGAUAUAGGAAGGAACACCAGUGGCGAAGGCGACCACCUGGGCUCAUACUGACACUGAGGUGCGAAAGCGUGGGGAGCAAACAGGAUUAGAUACCCUG
rnacentral:rRNA from 1 species